rnacentral:ncRNA from 3 species
UACGUAGGGUGCGAGCGUUAAUCGGAAUUACUGGGCGUAAAGCGUGCGCAGGCGGUGAUGUAAGACCGAUGUGAAAUCCCCGGGCUUAACCUGGGAACUGCAUUGGUGACUGCAUCGCUGGAGUAUGGCAGAGGGGGGUAGAAUUCCACGUGUAGCAGUGAAAUGCGUAGAGAUGUGGAGGAAUACCGAUGGCGAAGGCAGCCCCCUGGGCCAAUACUGACGCUCAUGCACGAAAGCGUGGGGAGCAAACAGG